rnacentral:rRNA from 1 species
AUACAUGCAGUCGAGCGGACAGAUGGGAGCUUGCUCCCUGAUGUUAGCGGCGGACGGGUGAGUAACACGUGGGUAACCUGCCUGUAAGACUGGGAUAACUCCGGGAAACCGGGGCUAAUACCGGAUGCUUGAUUGAACCGCAUGGUUCAAUUAUAAAAGGUGGCUUUUAGCUACCACUUACAGAUGGACCCGCGGCGCAUUAGCUAGUUGGUGAGGUAACGGCUCACCAAGGCAACGAUGCGUAGCCGACCUGAGAGGGUGAUCGGCCACACUGGGACUGAGACACGGCCCAGACUCCUACGGGAGGCAGCAGUAGGGAAUCUUCCGCAAUGGACGAAAGUCUGACGGAGCAACGCCGCGUGAGUGAUGAAGGUUUUCGGAUCGUAAAACUCUGUUGUUAGGGAAGAACAAGUACCGUUCGAAUAGGGCGGUACCUUGACGGUACCUAACCAGAAAGCCACGGCUAACUACGUGCCAGCAGCCGCGGUAAUACGUAGGUGGCAAGCGUUGUCCGGAAUUAUUGGGCGUAAAGCGCGCGCAGGCGGUUUCUUAAGUCUGAUGUGAAAGCCCCCGGCUCAACCGGGGAGGGUCAUUGGAAACUGGGGAACUUGAGUGCAGAAGAGGAGAGU